GAGAGCCGGAUGAGGGGAGACCUUCACGUCCGGUUCGGAGGGCGGGGAUAUCCCGACCAUACUAUCAUUAUGCCUUUGCAAUGUUACUUGGUUCAACUCUAUUUGUGACCUUUUCUCAUAUGUGGGACUCUCUAUCUUUUUGGGUAGAUAAUCGAUCGUCUAUCCAAAU
rfam:Daucus carota subsp. sativus cultivar DH1 chromosome 8, whole genome shotgun sequence.